rnacentral:misc_RNA from 1 species
UACGUAGGUGGCAAGCGUUGUCCGGAAUUAUUGGGCGUAAAGCGCACGCAGGCGGCUUGGCAAGUCGGAUGUGAAAGCCCCGAGCUCAACUCGGGGAGGCCCUCCGAUACUGCCAUGGCUAGAGUCCGGUAGAGGAGCAUGGAAUUCCUGGUGUAGCGGUGAAAUGCGCAGAUAUCAGGAGGAACACCAGUAGCGAAGGCGGUGCUCUGGGCCGGUACUGACGCUCAUGUGCGAAAGCGUGGGUAGCGAACAGG